rnacentral:rRNA from 1 species
UACAGAGACUGCAAGCGUUGUUCGGAUUCAUUGGGCGUAAAGGUUGCGUAGGCGGUGAGGUAAGUUGGAUGUGAAAUCUCAGGGCCUAACCCUGAAAGUGCAUCCAAAACUGCCUUGCUUGAGGACUGGAGGGGAGACUGGAAUUCUCGGUGUAGCGGUGAAAUGCGUAGAUAUCGAGAGGAACACCAGUGGCGAAGGCGGGUCUCUAGCCAGUUCCUGACGCUGAGGCACGAAAGCCAGGGUAGCAAACGGG